rnacentral:rRNA from 1 species
AGAGUUUGAUCAUGGCUCAGAUUGAACGCUGGCGGCAGGCCUAACACAUGCAAGUCGAGCGGAUGAGUGGAGCUUGCUCCAUGAUUCAGCGGCGGACGGGUGAGUAAUGCCUAGGAAUCUGCCUGGUAGUGGGGGACAACAGUUGGAAACGACUGCUAAUACCGCAUACGUCCUACGGGAGAAAGCAGGGGACCUUCGGGCCUUGCGCUAUCAGAUGAGCCUAGGUCGGAUUAGCUAGUAGGUGAGGUAAUGGCUCACCUAGGCGACGAUCCGUAACUGGUCUGAGAGGAUGAUCAGUCACACUGGAACUGAGACACGGUCCAGACUCCUACGGGAGGCAGCAGUGGGGAAUAUUGGACAAUGGGCGAAAGCCUGAUCCAGCCAUGCCGCGUGUGUGAAGAAGGUCUUCGGAUUGUAAAGCACUUUAAGUUGGGAGGAAGGGCAGUAAGUUAAUACCUUGCUGUUUUGACGUUACCGACAGAAUAAGCACCGGCUAACUUCGUGCCAGCAGCCGCGGUAAUACGAAGGGUGCAAGCGUUAAUCGGAAUUACUGGGCGUAAAGCGCGCGUAGGUGGUUCAGCAAGUUGAAGGUGAAAUCCCCGGGCUCAACCUGGGAACUGCCUCCAAAACUACUGAGCUAGAGUACGGUAGAGGGUAGUGGAAUUUCCUGUAGCGGUGAAAUGCGUAGAUAUAGGAAGGAACACCAGUGGCGAAGGCGACUACCUGGACUGAUACUGACACUGAGGUGCGAAAGCGUGGGGAGCAAACAGGAUUAGAUACCCCAGUAGUCC